rnacentral:rRNA from 1 species
GAUGAACGCUGGCGGCGUGCUUAACACAUGCAAGUCGAACGAUGAAGCUGGAGCUUGCUCUGGUGGAUUAGUGGCGAACGGGUGAGUAACACGUGAGCAACCUGCCCCUGACUCUGGGAUAACAGCCGGAAACGGCUGCUAAUACCGGAUAUGCACCAUGAACGCAUGUUCUGUGGUGGGAAAGAUUUUUCGGUUGGGGAUGGGCUCGCGGCCUAUCAGCUUGUUGGUGAGGUAAUGGCUCACCAAGGCGUCGACGGGUAGCCGGCCUGAGAGGGUGACCGGCCACACUGGGACUGAGACACGGCCCAGACUCCUACGGGAGGCAGCAGUGGGGAAUAUUGCACAAUGGGCGAAAGCCUGAUGCAGCAACGCCGCGUGAGGGAUGACGGCCUUCGGGUUGUAAACCUCUUUUGGCAGGGAAGAAGCGAGAGUGACGGUACCUGCAGAAAAAGCGCCGGCUAACUACGUG